ensembl:misc_RNA 7SK 7SK RNA
GGAUAUGAAGGUGAUCUGGCUGCAACAUCCGUCACCCCACUGACUGUCAGGGCUGAUUUGGGUGGUCUGGCUGGCCAGGCAGGUGCCCCUUUCCUUCCUCACGAGCAUCCCGCCUGAAGCUGAAGCUGUGAAGCUGUGUGCUUGGUCAAAGAGGAUGACUAUCCCCAAUAGAGGAGGACAGUUUCCUUGGUCAAGGGUAUAUAUAACUGCAUUCCCCUGCUAGAACCUCUAACCAGCUCUCAAAGAAGGACUGCCUAACAAUAUCUAUAAAACAGUCAUUUUAUCCCCUUAGUCAAACACCUAAUUUGAAUAGAAAAUCCUACAUCAUGU